UCUUCAUAGCUGGGUGAGGAGACGCUGAGAUGAACUACAGACGUGAGAUGAACUAUAGCUGGUAGCUGGUUCCCCGCUGGGAUGUGCAUUCAGAUCCCCAUCCUUGUCGGUUCCAAAGACUCUACCUGCACCCAGGAUCUGAAAGCUUUAAUGUGGGUCAUCCGACCAAGUGGAAAGAACCGCAGCAUCCCUUUGUAACGGGGGUUUAUUCUACUGUGUGACAACAGCCACCUCCUUCAUUUGAGGAGAUUAAUAACUUAGGCAACACUCCUGGUAGACCUGCCAUUUGGCUCAGCUCAGUUCCAGCUUGUUUGGAGAGAGAAGUGUUCCUCAUCAUGCCAUAUCCUCACACAGAUUGUCCAGGUACCAGCAAGACAAGAAGAGAAAAAUACACAGGAGCACAUUAGGCGGAGCUGGGAUUCUGCUACACAUUCAGAUGACAGGUCACCUAUAGACAGAUGAUUCAGGGAUCAACCUGGAGUUCUUAAUACAACCAAGAAGAGACUCAGAAAGCUGGGAAUAUGGGCAAAAGAUCGUCUUGAAAACCACACACAGUUGUGGUAAAUAAAUGCACAAUUUAAAAAAUGCAUUUACAAAAA